AUUGAACGCUGGCGGCAGGCCUAACACAUGCAAGUCGAACGGUAACAGGAAGAAGCUUGCUUCUUUGCUGACGAGUGGCGGACGGGUGAGUAAUGUCUGGGAAACUGCCUGAUGGAGGGGGAUAACUACUGGAAACGGUAGCUAAUACCGCAUAACGUCGCAAGCCCAAAGAGGGGGACCUUCGGGCCUCUUGCCAUCGGAUGUGCCCAGAUGGGAUUAGCUAGUAGGUGGGGUAACGGCUCACCUAGGCGACGAUCCCUAGCUGGUCUGAGAGGCUGAUCGGCCACACUGGAACUGAGACACGGUCCAGACUCCUACGGGAGGCAGCAGUGGGGAAUAUUGCACAAUGGGCGCAAGCCUGAUGCAGCCAUGCCGCGUGUAUGAAGAAGGCCUUCGGGUUGUAAAGUACUUUCAGCGGGGAGGAAGGGAGUAAAGUUAAUACCUUUGCUCAUUGACGUUACCCGCAGAAGAAGCACCGGCUAACUCCGUG
rnacentral:rRNA from 1 species